UCAAAUGGGCCUUGUACAGACAGCAAAUGACCAACUAAGUUGCUGUUUGUGGUCUGCACCUCAAAUGUUAACAUGUCCUUGCUUAUUGAAACCAAUGGUACAAAUUUGCCAAUUUGAAAAUGUGGAAAAAUGGAGGUGCAAUACUUGGUCGAAUGGGCCUGAAAUGAGCAGAAAAAGACUUUCCAAAUUGCUGUUUGUGGUUUGUACAUGUACUGGCUGUACUUGCUUUUACUCAAUGAACCAAA
rnacentral:lncRNA from 1 species